rnacentral:piRNA from 1 species
GGAAUAAAGUACACCGAGAACCAUGAU